rnacentral:lncRNA from 1 species
GGAUAGUUGAGAGUUCUUCAGCAUCCCUAAAGGCCUCAGGCUCCACCUGUAGUUGCUCUGAAGUUGCCCCAUGUUCCUCUUCUACUUCAUCUUUGGCUCCAAGUUUGCUCAAGUCAACUUCGGGAUACAGCUGAGCAACUUGAGCAUUGUAAUCUUUGAAGCCAAUUUGAUGAGCCUCCACUAAUCCCUUAGUGACUUUCUCAAUAAAAAUCUUAAGAAUUCUUGAAGUCAGAGAUCGCUCGAGCAACAGCACCUAAGUAGAGGCUUUAGUAGUAGCUGCCCUCUCCUUGGUAGUCUUGGUAGCUUCCUUAGCUUUGACCCACUUUUCCUUUAGGGCUGUAAUAAUUGGCUCACAGAGAUCGAGCUCUUUCUCAAGCUCGACAUUGGUCUUCUUUUCCUUCACUAGCUGGACCUCGAGCAUAGCUAUUCUCUUCCGACUGGUAGUGAGCUCGACAUCAAGCUAAGCCCUUUCUUUAGUCUUCUUCACCUCUUGCUCCUCUAUAGCCUUAAGGAGUCAUUUGGUGACUUCGGCCCAAGCUUUAGUAGCCUGGGCCCUUUCCUCCAAAGAGUGACUAAGUUGGCUGAAAUUGGUUAGUCCUUAGUUACUCUUCGGGACGGAGUAGAAGAAGGGAGGAGAUUCUUGAACGAAGAAAAGGAUACAAUUACUUUGAAAGAAUUGAACAAGGAGCCAUAUGAGGUAAAAAUCUUAUGUACGGUUCUGUAGAGUGACAGUAAUGG